rnacentral:rRNA from 1 species
UACGGAGGGUGCAAGCGUUAAUCGGAAUUACUGGGCGUAAAGCGUGCGUAGGCGGUUCGUUAAGUCUGUUGUGAAAGCCCCGGGCUCAACCUGGGAAUGGCAAUGGAUACUGGCGAGCUAGAGUGUGUCAGAGGAUGGUGGAAUUCCCGGUGUAGCGGUGAAAUGCGUAGAGAUCGGGAGGAACAUCAGUGGCGAAGGCGGCCAUCUGGGACGGUACUGACGCUGAGACGCGAAAGCGUGGGGAGCGAACAGG